rnacentral:rRNA from 1 species
UACAGAGGUCUCAAGCGUUUGUUCGGAUUCAUUGGGCGUAAAGGGUGUGUAGGUGGCGCCGUAAGUCAGGUGUGAAAUCUCGGGGCUUAACUCCGAAACUGCAUUUGAUACUGCGGUGCUUGAGGACUGGAGAGGAGACUGGAAUUUAUGGUGUAGCAGUGAAAUGCGUAGAUAUCAUAAGGAAGACCAGUGCGAAGGCGGGUCUCUGGACAGUUCCUGACACUGAGACACGAAGGCCAGGGGAGCAAACGGG